AUCACACCUGCGGUGUUACUGGCUGUUUCUCUUAGAAGGUCUUUCUGAUAUCUGCGUCCUCUUUCCAGAUCUGCUGCUCCCUGGAAUCAUGUUCCUGGCUCCUGGUAGUCCCUGACUUUACCUGUCUGUUCCAGAAACCUGCUUUAUGGCCAUUUGUUCUGAUGAUCAGUUUGGACAACCACCCUUUAUUCCACCACCUCAGACCAUAUUCAACAUCCUGUAACCAUCAUAGCACCAACAACACUAAACUUCAGAAAGAAACUGAGCCGGUCUCAAGUCAUCUGCAAACUGAGGGCUUGAACCAUUGUCACAGCCUCCUACAGUUCUUGGGAAUGGUAGAGAUAUAUAUCUGCUAUUACUCUUUAGACUCAACGGAGAAGAGUUACUGAAACUGACAGCCUAGAGAAACUGACAGCCUACCUCACUUCACCCUCAACCGUUGAAGAGGGAAGUCAAUAAUACAAACGGAGAGCCCAUUGCAAUUUGCCAGACUGCAGUGCUUGAUGUUGAGCUUUUUCAGGUUUAUCUAUGAAAUUUCACCAACGUUCACUAGAGUGUCAUCUUUCAAUCUUUGGCAACUACUGGAGACUAAUCUUGAAAUUCUGAUGGACUUCAUGGGUUUGUUGAAUGUUUUUGAGAUCAUUGACCAUAAAAAAAGCACCAGAAAUAAGUGCAAAUUUUCUCUCAAAAAGGUUAAUAGUAUGGGCAAUAGCGUAUUUUCUGGGAGUUAUUAUAAAGAGAGGAUAGUGUCCUAUUAAUUUUGUUAAUGUGUAAUUGCUCAGAAUUUCCUUGGCUUAAUCACGCUAAGCCUGCUUCUUUACUUACAAAAUAAAGGUGCAUGCAUUUAUUCAUUUUUCUUCAAUAAAUAUUUGUAGAGUGUUUUAUAUGUACUAGCCAUAACACAAUCAUUAGAUAAUAAUAAUGAAUAUAACAAAAACAAUAUUACUAGAAAUAACAACCCUUUAUACAGCUUUUUAUGGAAUUAAAUCAUAUGAUUUAUGUGGCAGUGCAUAGCACAAUUUUAAUUUGCUAUUAAAGGGAUUUCACUUAGAACCAUUUACAAUUUAAGUGAAUCUUGCCUUAGGUUUUAAUUUUUUUUUAGACAGGAAUGGUAAUCAUACAUACAUAUGCUUCUUCAAAUACAAGAUACCUGUAGAUUUUAAUUCAAUGCAUUAACUCAGUGCUUCAUGUAUCUUCAAAACCUGCACCAUAUCGGGACCAACAGUAAAUGAGCAUGUUGUCAAAUGCACACACAAAUCUAACUGAAAGAACAGAAAAAAAAAAAAACUUUAGAAGUUUUAAUUUUGUUUCUUUCACUUGCUGUUCUUAUUUAGUGGAUCUUCAAUUGUAUAACAUUUACUUUAAGUGCUCCUGUAACUUUGGAGAAUCUUUUCCAUUGUUAACUACUCAGAUUCAUUAUCAUUUAGCAAAUAUUUUAAUUUUUUUUCAAAUUACUAAAAUACUUUCACUCCUUUGAAGAUUUACACGAAAAUUAUGUAUGUUAUGUCUUUGGGAUAAUCUGUAUAACUAAAGAUACAGGAGCACAGUCAAAACUUUCAAGUGAUUUUUGGGCUGGGAUCUUAAGCAUAGAAUAUUGGACAAUAUUGGAUAUUCAAUAUCAUUUGUUAGCGGUUCCUAGUUUUAUGUUAUUAUGUACUUCACUGUGAAAGUUUGGUUAUUUUUUUCCUGAUUUGUGUUGAAUGUACAAAUAAAUUACAAGACAAACAUGGUGUUUUGUUAAUAAAAUGGAAUUAUUACUCAACGUUCAAAAAAUGAGAUUUACCCUUGUGCUGUAAUACGGAAAAGUGGCCAUUAUAGAUUGUGAAGUGAAAAAAAUAAAUUUUGGAGUACUAUAUGCAGCAUUUUCCAAUUUGUUUAAAAUUAGGCAUCAAAAUAUGUGGAAGAAGAUAUAAAACUUGUUUCUCUCUAUAGAGGAGAACUGAAUCUUCAAUCUAUGCAGGAGGCUUACUUCUGUGAUUUUAUUUUUUACCUUGUGUAGGCAUACCUUUGUAAAUUAUAAGAAACUUAAAAAAGAUAACAUGAAGCUUAUAAAAAGGAAU
rnacentral:lncRNA from 1 species